GGGCGAUUAGCUCAGGCGGCCAGAGCACCUGCAUCACACGCAGGGGGUCACAGGUUCAAGUCCUGUAUCGCCCACCA
rnacentral:tRNA from 1 species